UACGAAGGGGGCUAGCGUUGCUCGGAAUCACUGGGCGUAAAGCGCACGUAGGCGGAUUGCUAAGUCAGGGGUGAAAUCCUGGAGCUCAACUCCAGAACUGCCUUUGAUACUGGCGACCUUGAGUCCGGGAGAGGUGAGUGGAACUGCGAGUGUAGAGGUGAAAUUCGUAGAUAUUCGCAAGAACACCAGUGGCGAAGGCGGCUCA
rnacentral:rRNA from 1 species